rnacentral:misc_RNA from 1 species
UCCUCGUUUAAGCGAGGCAGUCUGUCCAGAGUGCUCCAGCCUCUCGGCUAGGUGGCAACAGGACACAAGGGUUGCGCUCGUUGCGGGACUUAACCCAACAUCUCACGACACGAGCUGACGACAGCCAUGCAGCACCUGUGUACGCUGGUAUUGCUACCUCGUCAGGCUUUCACCCUUCUACUACGUACAUGUCAAGGCCAGGUAAGGUUCUUCGCGUUGCAUCGAAUUGAGCCACAUACUCCACCGCUUGUGCAGGCCCCCGUCAAUUUCUUUGAGUUUUAAUCUUGCGACCGUACUUCCCAGGCGGCACGUUUAACGCGUUGGCUACGCCACGAGUGGGGUCGAUUCCACUCACAGCAAACGUGCACCGUUUACGGCUAGGACUAC